UAGUGAUUUACCAAAGACCCCCCAAAAUGACUUAUAAUACAACAGUCUGCAAUAAUUGGUAGUGAAAUUUGUUUAUAUCAGUGCAGAAUAAAUGCACAAGUAAACAAAUUUGACAGUUGAUGAAUUAGUAAUGAUAAAACCUCAGUAACACAGAAAUGAAAUUAAGGCUCUCACAUAACUAGUAGUAGCAUAUGUUACAAACAACAUGACAUUAUUUUAAAUUACAGUGAUGACUUGUAAUCAAUGAAAGAUUCAUAUACCGGUAUAUGAUAAUGAAUUGUUCAUAAUUUGUUGCUGAAACACAUUAACAACAGAGUUUUGUGUUUCAAAAACACAUUGUCAACCACACGAAAUUUUAAUAAAAAGAAUACACAACA
rnacentral:lncRNA from 1 species